GGCCUUGUGGCCUAAUGGCUAUGGCGCCAGAUUUCGGCCUUCAAAACGGUCAUCACUCUGGAGAUUCGGGGUUCGAGUCCUCGCAGGGUCG